GAUGGCUUGGCGCACAGUGCUCCUGCUGCUGGAGGCCGCCCUGGCCCCGACUCAGACCUGUGCGGGCUCACACUCGCUGCGGUAUUUCCACACCGCCAUGUCCCGGCCCGGCCUCGGGGAGCCCCGGUUCAUCGCUGUCGGCUACGUGGACGACACGCAGUUCGUGCGCUUCGACAGCGACGCGGAGAAUCCGAGGAUGGAACCGCGCGCGCCAUGGAUGGAGCAGGAGGGGCCGGAGUAUUGGGAGCGGGAGACACAGGUCGCCAAGAACACGGAGCAGAUUUCUCGAGUGAACCUGAGGACCCUGCGCGGCUAUUACAACCAGAGCGAGGGCGGCUCUCACACUUACCAGCGGAUGUCUGGCUGUGAGGUGGGGUCCGACGGGCGCCUCCUCCGUGGGUACUGGCAGUAUGCCUACGAUGGCCAGGAUUACAUCGCCCUGAACGAAGACCUGAAAACGUGGACGACAGCAGACAUAGCAGCUCAGAUUACUGGACAAAAACUGGAACAGAUCCCCAAAGGCACAUGUGACCCAUCACCCGGGAUCUGAAGAUGAUGUCACCCUGAGGUGUUGGGCCCUGGGCUUCUACCCUGCUGACAUCACCCUGACCUGGCAGUUGAAUGGGGAGGAGCUGACCCAGGACAUGGAGCUUGUGGAGACCAGGCCUGCAGGGGAUGGAAUCUUCCAGAAGUGGGCAGCUGUGGUGGUGCCUCUUGGGAAGGAGCAGAAUUACACAUGCCAUGUGCACCAUGAGGGGCUGCCUGAGCCCCUCACCCUGAGAUGGGAGCCUCCUCUAUCCACCGACUCCAACAUGGUGACCAUUGCUGUUCUGGUUGUCCUUGGAACUGUGAUAGUCAUUGUUGCUGUGGUGGCUUUUGUGAUGAAGAGGAGGAGAAACACAGCGUGAAGCCAGCUGCCUGGAGUGGACUAAGUGACAGACAAUGUCUUCACACAUCUCCUGUGACAUCCAGAGCCCUCAGUUUUCUUUAGUCAAGUAUCUGAUGUUCCCUGUGAGCCUAUGGGCUCAAAGUGAAGAACUGUGCAGCCCAGCCUGCCCUGCACACAGAACCCUGUCCCUGCACUGCCCUGGGUUCCCUUCCACAGCCAACCUUGCUGCUCCAGCCAAACACUGGGCGACAUCUGCAUCCUGCCAGCUCCAUGCUGCCCUGAGCUGCAGCUCCUCACUUCCACACUGAGAGUAAGAAUCUGAAUGGGACCUUGAUUCUUAACAUCCUGACCGAGGGUUGAUUUCUUGUUAAUUUCAUGGAUUGAGAAUACUUAGAGUUUUGGUUUGUUUUGAUUUUUUUUCAAGAAAUAAAUGGC